rnacentral:rRNA from 1 species
ACUCCUACGGGAGGCAGCAGUAGGGAAUCUUCGGCAAUGGGGGCAACCCUGACCGAGCAACGCCGCGUGAGUGAAGAAGGUUUUCGGAUCGUAAAGCUCUGUUGUAAGUCAAGAACGAGUGUGAGAGUGGAAAGUUCACACUGUGACGGUAGCUUACCAGAAAGGGACGGCUAACUACGUGCCAGCAGCCGCGGUAAUACGUAGGUCCCGAGCGUUGUCCGGAUUUAUUGGGCGUAAAGCGAGCGCAGGCGGUUUGAUAAGUCUGAAGUUAAAGGCUGUGGCUCAACCAUAGUUCGCUUUGGAAACUGUCAAACUUGAGUGCAGAAGGGGAGAGUGGAAUUCCAUGUGUAGCGGUGAAAUGCGUAGAUAUAUGGAGGAACACCGGUGGCGAAAGCGGCUCUCUGGUCUGUAACUGACGCUGAGGCUCGAAAGCGUGGGGAGUGAACAGGAUUAGAAACCCUUGUAGUCC